AGAGUUUGAUCCUGGCUCAGGAUGAACGCUGGCGGCGUGCUUAACACAUGCAAGUCGAACGGUGAACUUGGGAGCUUGCUCCCGGGGGAUCAGUGGCGAACGGGUGAGUAACACGUGAGUAACCUGCCCCAGACUCUGGGAUAAGCACUGGAAACGGUGUCUAAUACCGGAUACGAGCUUCAGCCGCAUGGCUAGGAGCUGGAAAGAAUUUCGGUCUGGGAUGGACUCGCGGCCUAUCAGCUAGUUGGUGAGGUAACGGCCCACCAAGGCGACGACGGGUAGCCGGCCUGAGAGGGUGACCGGCCACACUGGGACUGAGACACGGCCCAGACUCCUACGGGAGGCAGCAGUGGGGAAUAUUGCACAAUGGGCGAAAGCCUGAUGCAGCAACGCCGCGUGAGGGACGACGGCCUUCGGGUUGUAAACCUCUUUUAGUAGGGAAGAAGCGAAAGUGACGGUACCUGCAGAAAAAGCACCGGCUAANUACGUGCCAGCAGCCGCGGUAAUUC
rnacentral:rRNA from 1 species